CAGUGUUUCAAAAAGUUGAUAAAUGGAAAAUGGGCAUUCAGGUAUAAAAUAAGGAGUUAAGAAGGGAAAAAAUGCCUGCAGAUUCCAUGAUGGUCUAAGGCCAUAUAUGAUAAAUGAAAAUUUCUCAGAAAUGCUGACAGGGAAAGGGUUAAAUAUCUCCUAAAAAACUUAGGAAAUUAAAGUCCAGUCUUUUUAAAAACACCUCAAUCUUUGGAUUGAGAAGUUGAAUCAAAAGCAUGAUAAUUAAAUUUACUAAUAACACAAAGUUAUGAGGUAUUGCAAGGGUGAAGGGACAGAUUUUCAAGAUAACCAAUUCGAUUCUGAAGCUGGUCCUUAUUUACCCCUCUGCCUUCCAACUGCAGCUCUGGUUACCCACAUAUUUCCUUUAAUGAGUUACAUAAGGAAGGCCCAUGGACUUGUCUCAGCAGGACAGUUCCAUGCAGGGGCUUCCAAGUGUGUUUUGAAAAGUAUAAAUAUCUUCCAUGAGUCUGCCAUGGUGCCUGGAAUUCUAGCAUCAAUGGAUGUCUCUAAAGUUAGAGCAUGAUUUCUAAUUUGCUAAAUUAUAUGGAAUGUGCUGCCACUUCUAGUGGCUUUUCUGCUGGCACCAGGCAGAGACCAGAGGGAGCCAGAGAAAGGGGAAGGUUGGUCUCUAUACAUCCACCCAUAAACUACAGAACCACCAAUCAAACCUAGUUUAUCUCCUCACCCCCUGUGCUCCCCGAUUAUUGCACAUUGCCUCUUUUUACUCACUGUCCUUCAAGUACGUUUUAAAUCGGCUUCUCCUUUAUACAACCUGAAAUUGGAAGUCAUAGGAACAAUUAAACAUAGGCUUCCUCUCCAUCCAACUCAGACAAACAAUUAUUGAACUCUUUCUUCUGUCGACUGAGCACUAGAAAUCCAAAGAUAAAUAGGAGAUCAGAGUCUACCAAACGAGAAGAUGAAGAGAGUAAAUAGACAAAGUGCUUCAGAGCAUGGAGAAGUGAGUAAUUUAUUUCAUCGGGGACCUGUGGAGGGCCUCCCAGGGAAGGUGAUAUUCGGGUUCAGUCUUGAUAAGUAUGUAGGAUAUCUUCAGGUGAAACAAACGAAAGGCAUUCAAAAGAGAAAAAUAAAAUUACUCCUGGGAUUUAACACAUGAGCCUUUAGCAUCCAAGUUCAGAUGCAUAGUCGUUGAAUAGAUAAUCAUCAAGCACCUGCAGGGUGCCAGACAUUGUGCAAGGUAAGCACUGAGGAUGAAAAUACAGAGAAAACACAGGACAUGAUUUCUGUCCACAAGGAGCUCAUAGGUUUCCUUGAAAACUAUCACUGGGGAAAGCAGGGUCCAGUCAGAGCAGGGGUUUGCGCUUGAGCAGGGCGAAGGUAGGUUCAUAACAUAAGGCAUUGUCUAGAGAAGAAAGCACACAUUAAUAACCUCAAGUGGAGAUCCACACCUUCCAGUGCCAGCAGGGAAGGCUAAGGAUUCCUCAGAAGACACAGGGCAGCAAAGCUAGAGAUAAGACUACUGAAAUGAGGCAGCCCAAGCAACAAAGUUUGGUUGAAACAUACCAAAAAUUCUUAGCUCUGCUCUGUGGCUACUUUUCGAGAAUUUUGUAUUCAAUGAGAAAAGUAUUAUACAAGCCACACUUCACAAAAGAGGCAACUAAGUAAUUUGUCCACAGUUACAGUGCAGGUGUGAAAACUAAGAUCUUUCUUACUCAAAAUCUAUCCUCUUUCUGUAAUACGAAAUUGCUUUUCAAUUUUAUUUCACAAUUUCUCCCAGAGGCUCACUGUUCAACUGGUUUGUCCAUACCUCCUGUAUUACAUGGAUUUCAACAAAAAUCAGGAAUGUAUCAGAAAAAAAAAAAAAAAGUUACUCAGAUGGAACUAUCCUAUAGAGUACUGGCCAAAAUAGAACAGACACUGGUCAGAAUGUCCUAUUUGAGUAACUGCACCAUAAUUGAGAAAUAGGGGAGAUACAAUGUAUCCUUGAGAUACUUAGAUACUUGAGAGGAAAAGUACAUGCCAAGAAUUUCUUUUGACCCAGGAAAUGAAGAUAAUGAUUCAGGAAGAGGAGUGGGUAUUACUGUUUUCUUAGAAGUCAGCGUUGUGCCUGGUCUGUGGUAGGACUCACUAAUUAUUAGUGGAAUGAAUAGAAGAAUGGAUGUCAAGGGAAAGGUGAAAUAUCAGAGAUGCUCAUUUUACCCUACAUAUUGUCAAAGUCAUUUUCUAGUGGUGCUAUUUUUAAUAGUCAUGCCAAGUAUUGUUAGGAUAUAGAGAAAUGAGCAUUUUCUUAUAUUACUAUAGGAAUAUAAAUUGUUUCAGAGAAAAGAUUGGUUAUAUGUAUCAGAAGCUUUUAAAAUAUGUCUCCUUUUUCACAAGAAAUUAUAAUUCUAUUAUUUAAUACUACUGAUAGUUGGAGAGAUUUAUUUACCAGGACGUUCAUUCCUAUUUCCUAUGGUAAAAAUUGCUGACAACCAAAAAUUUCCAACAGGAAAUAGGUCAAAUAAAUCAUGCUAUAAAAGAAUAUUUAAUAACAUGGCAAGGUGUUCACUAUAUAUUCUAGAGUAAAAACUGAAAAUCUUACAUGCAAAAUGUGAAAUAUUAUAUUUUCCUAAAAAUGAAAUAUUUAUGUAUAUAUAUUUAUCUAUAUUCACAACAAAAGACUAGAAGAAUUUGUAGAAAAAUAUUGGUAAUAGCUAUCUCCAGGGGAAUUGGAGUAAUUUUUACUUCCUUCUAUGUGAUUUUCUGUAUUUUCCAAAUUUUCUACAAUAAAUAUAUAUUUCUUUUACAAAAAGAAAAGAAAUUCACAAAAAUGUAAAGGCAAGCAACAAAAUGAGAAAAAUAUUUUCAAAUUAUAUGAAAUAAAGGGUUAAUGUCCUUGAUCCUCAUCCUUAAAAGAAUGAAUAAAAAGACAUGAAAAGACAAUUCUCAUAAAAGGAAAUAAUAAUGGCUAAAAAACAUAAAAAUAUGUUCAUCUUGGCCAGCAAUCAAAGAAAUGCUAAUUAGAAUAACAAUAUGCUAUACAGAUGUGACUAUUCAUUAUUGAUGAAGUCCCAAAUAAUGAUAUAUUUGAGGAAAGCAAUUUGCCAGUAUGAAUGAAGAGCCUUAAAUAACUCAUAGCUUUUGACCCAAGAAUUCCACUUCUCAGAAUCUAUCCUAGGAAAGCAGUCCAAAAUGGAAUAAACUUUAGAGAUGUGCAUAUCAAGUCACUUGAGGAGUAUUGACUAAGACCAAGAAGAGGAGGGAGAGGAUUUAUACUUUGGUACCAAGACAGGAAGGAGAGAAUGGCACAGUGUGCUGCCCACCCGCGUUAAAUAAAUAUGACCCAUGUAUUAGUCAAGGUUAUGCAGAGAAACAGACCAAAUAGGAUGUGUAUACAUAAAUAUGGAUAUAGACAUAAAUAUGUAUUUAUAUAUAUAUAUGAAGAGAUUUAUUAUAAAGAAUUGGCUUUCACAGUCAUAGAGGGUAGAAAAUUCAAAACCCAGGCAUGCUGUUGACCCAGGAUAGCCAAUGCUGCUGUUCUGAUUUGAAGGCCAGCAGGCUGAAGAAUUCUGUCUUGCUCUGGGUAGGCUGAUCUUUUAGUUCUAUUCAGGCCUUCAACGGACCGGAUGAGGCCCACCCACAUUAGGAAGGGCAGUCUGCUUUACUCAAGAGUCUGCCAAUUCAAAUGUUAAUCUCAUCCAAAACAGCUUCAUAGAAACACCAGGGUAAUGUUUGACCAAAUAUCUGGGAACCAUGGUGCCAGCCAAGUUGACAAAUAAAAUUAACCAACACAUCCUGUGAUGGAGGGGCUGCCAAUGGAAGAUAAAGGAAGUGUCCUUUGGAAGAUCCUUGUCAGGCACAGACAUAAACAAUGUUGCUCUGGGGCCUGAAGGACAAAACCUGGUCAGAGUGGAGAGCGAGGCCUUCUUCUGGUCUUUACAGAGAACACAGCAAUGGUCUGAUGCAAUGAGUACUUAAAGAGUCAGCACCCUUUUGAUACCUCAAACAUUUGCAGCAAUGGGAACUAGGAAACAAGGCCCCCAUCUUCAAAUGGUAAUUUGUUAUGCAGCAAUAGAUAACCGAUACAAUAGUACCUUACAAUACUGAACCUGGUUUUAGACUAUGCUCCUGCCAAAUGGCAAUAGACUAUGAAAGAUUGCCACAUAAGAGUAAAUAUUAUUUAAAUUUUCUUCUCCACUUUGACAUAAAUUACUUUCAAUUAAGUAGCAAUGAUAGUACGCUAAAUCCAAUAAUAGUUGGUUUAUCAUAAAGAUGCACAUUUCUGGUCACUUAGUAAAGCUACUUAAAUGGAAAUAAUAUUUUAGUUAGCUAGCUGGUUAGAUCAAGCUGACAACAACUGAUUUUUUUUUUUAAAGGCACUGGGUGGUGGUUGCUGCUGCUGCUUAUUAUUUUCAUCUUGAUGAACGGAUUUCCCAUAAAUUAAAUGAGAAUCCAUUUUUUUUAAGUGAUAAGUUAUUUGUUUCGCUGAGUACCUCUGAUCUUUUAAAAGUUUAUUUUCCUCCAUUUCUGACAAUUCUGAUUACACUGCUGUCAUUAUAGGUAGGUAUUGGUUUACAUAAUUGGUAGACCCAAUGUUCUACUUUACUAAAGCUAUUAACUCUUAGGUACACUGGUCUGUUAGAACCUGUUUCUAAUCUCCAAUGAGAGCUGUGAAUUGGAAGGUAGACUAUGUUUCGAGAUGUGCAGGAACCCCCUGAACCAGAAAACUGGAUUUUUAUCUUCCUGACCUUCUAUUUAUCCUUUGAAAAGACAGAAGCAAUAUGAACUGUGAAACUAACCUGCUGCUUCAGGUUCCUCUUCUUCCUUCUUAGUGAGCUGUUUUCCUUUCUCCAUUUUCUUUCAACUUUCUUCACUGCUGAAGUCUGAAAAAAAACUUGAUUUUUAUAAGCUUACAAUUUUUUUCAAAAAUAAGUUUCUUUUCCUUAAAUUAGUUGGUCAAUUAAUAUUCAAUGAAAACAAGAUUUUUGAUAUUUAUUGUUCUUACUUUCUUACUUCAGUUAAAUACAGAUACUUGAUACCUGUACACUUAUUUACAGCUGGGUCUUACUGAAGACCCCCCUUUUGAAAUAAAGUGGAUGUCCUAGAUGUGAAGUAUACCAAUUCAAAGCAAUUGAAUGCAGAAACAGAAACCAACAAACACUAGCUAUCCAAUUACCUACAUUAGAAAAUCUGGGGGAUGCAGACACAUAAUUUGGCUGAAGUCAAAUCAAGAUUUCAUCCAUAUCAACUUCUACUAGAAUAAUCUAUCAAUCCAAGUAGGACUUUUACGACAAAGCUGCUCUGUUAAAUCAUAGUCAACUGAGCAAACAUUAUACAGCUAUGUAAAUAUUAAAAGGUAAGUGGGAGCAGGGAGGGGGCUCUUCUAUUUUUUUCCCCAAAUCUUUGUAUUUGAGAAAAUAUUCUUCUUACAGGAGCCAACCCAAGUUCUGUCUCCUCCAUUCCAGCCAGUCAGCUCGCCUCUGUGGUCACAGAUUUAUUGGUCAUAACACUCAAGUAAUCAUCAAAUCACAGGCUUGAAAGAAUUUUCUUGAAGAAUUCCUCUGUAAAAUAUUUAUCAAUUAAGAAUCCAGAGUCCAUUUUAUUACUUCCAGUGACUGAGUUCACUGUCUCCCAAGAAAGUCAGUCAUGCUUUUGAGCAGUUUUAUUUACUUUAAACAUUUACCUGCCAUUUUGAAAUAGUUAUGUGCUGGUCAUAAUUCUGCCCAGUAAAGCCCUUUGAAAAAGUCUAAUCUUCCUUCCCCAAGAGAGUCUUUUAUCUACUUAAAGUAAAAACAAAACAUGGCUCCCUUCCUUUUCUCUUAUCUAGGCUUACCCUCCCUCUGGCACAACACCCACACUGCAAAGGGAAGUUAGGUCAAAAGGGUGAGUGGGAGCUGAAAUUCAGGCCACACUCUCCAUGCUAGGUGUUGAGCUCCAACAUGGGGCUGUAGACAACCACAGGAGAGGAUGUCUUUUAUAAUUUUCAUGAAGGCACCCCCCCACCCCGAUUAAGUACUCUUGCCAAACUUUCCACCUGCAGGACUUACUUUAUCUGGAGAAGUGACCUUAUUCAGGCACCGAUGUUGUAUAUGUCAGGGAAUCUGUGUUCCUUACAUGACAUGAUGUCAAAUCUCCCCUCUGUGGUUCUUUCCUAAAUUCUUCUAUUGCUAUCACCAUGCCUACAUCAGCAGCUUCUCAAAGAUAGAUUUUUCUUAAUCUGUUUUUUUCUUAAAACUUGUAUCUGUAUAUACAAUAAAGUAUACUUUAAUACCAUUUUUAUUAUUCCACAAUUUAGGUCUUCAAUAGAGCUUGUCUAAUUACUAUAUCAAAGUUGAAUUCUUUGACCUGGUUUUCAAAGACCAUCGUCUUUGGUUUAACCUGAAUUUGGUUUAACCUGAAAUUUUAACUCAACCGGUUCAAAACUGAACUGAUCAUCAUUAUCCCCAAACCCACUUCUUUACUAUGUUCUUUCUUUUACUAAUUGAAGUAUAGUUGAUUUACAGUGUUUCAUGUGUACAGCAAAGUGAUUCAAAGUUUUAUAUAUAUCUAUAUAUAAGUAUAUAUAUACAUACUUUUUCAGAUUCUUUUCCAUUAUAGGUUAUUACAGAGUAUUGAGUAGAGUUCCCUGUGCUAUACAGUAGGUCCUAGUUGUUUCCCUAUUUUAUAUAUAGUAGUGUAUAUCUGUUUACUAUGUUCUUUUAAUUGUAUCACCAUCUACCCAGUCACCAUGAAAGGAAUCUUGGGCUCUUUUCUUAAUUUCCACUUCUCCUUCACUUUCACACUCAGUUGGUCACCUAGUCCUGGUACUUCUACAUUUGCAUUCCCUUAUAUAUCCUUUCUACUCAUGACUCUCCAUUUCUACUUUUCCUGCCUAAGUUUAGGUUGCUACCUCUGACUUACAGCCUCUAGUCCAGCCAUCCAAUAUUUUACCAUGAGGCUUGCUAUCUAAAUUUCAAAUUAAUAGGGCCUUAUACUGCUUUAACACCUUUUUUGAUGGUUUUCUAUUUAUGUAAAUGGAAGAAUAUCUAAUUCAUUUGGCAGAGGUUUCAAAAUAUUUGAAAUCUUUCUGUCCCCAAUUGGCUCUCCAUAAUGGAAAUAUCAUGGACAUCUAUGGCUGUGUGCUUCAGAUGGUUCCCACUGCUUUAUAACUGGUGCUUUCUACUUCUUCCCAAAUGUCAACAGCCAUCAUGGCUAUAAUAACCUAAUUAUCUUUACUUCUAGUUCAUCCCAGUUAUCAGUGACCUUAAACAAUAAUCACUGUUCAUAAUCCAUAAAGGAACUAGUAGUAGGGAUUAAUUUAUGGUAACUAAAAUAAGUCCUCUCAGAAUGGCACUUUAAAUUUUACCAUAAUUUCUGUCUUUCUGUUUUUAAAUGUCCAACAUACAUGUAUCACUUUUACUCUCAGUAGACUCUGUCUUGUUGUAAAUGGCAACAUCAUAGUUGAGUAUUAAUUAUUUGUACCUUUGCUUGUUAUCUAGCACUUCGUGAUUUUUAUGUACUUUCUUACAUUUCUAUUUGUAGUCUACAAAUCCACAGAAUGUGGAAUCUUCACAUAAGGCUGUGACCACAUGCUUUUAACUAUGUUGGCAAAAACAUUUACUAACCAUUUUCCCACCAAACUAAGUAACAUCAGAGGAUUUUAACCUGUGAGAAGUUAGGUCAGAAUCUGUUUUAAAUUUGCUCUGCAUAUGUUUGUUAUGUUGGAAUAUUAAGAUGGUCUAAUGAAAAAAAAAAUUAAAUAAAGGUUCUUAAGAGCAGAAAUCUUACUUGGCUCCUUGUCAUCAAACUUUCCUAACAGUUCAAGUAGAGAUAGGAUAGACCAAAAAUUCUCCUUAGGGUUUAAAAUCAUUUGAAACCCACAGAUAGGAGGGUGAGCUGAGUCAUAUCUAAGCCUAGGAUACACCAGAGUAUCCAGACUUCCUACAUUUUUCAGAAGUGAUAGAGAUCUGCUGUCUCCAAGCCCACUACUGUCUUGCUUGACCAACAUAUUACUUUAAACAAAGAAACAAAAACAAACAAAAGGGGGUGAGGGUGCUACCCUGACAACAUUCUUCUGUUGGAGAACAGUUUCAAAGUUUCAUGGAACAGUUUCAUGGUUGGGGAUGCCAUGAGCACAGGGAGAAAAGAUUUGGCUCCCCAGUGAAUGGGCAACUUUUCGUAGAGCUUAAUUAUUGGAGUAAAUUAAAAAGUCAACACCUAACUGGCUUCACGUUUAUCCCGGAGGAUUUAAGCCUCCAGGAGGAAGAGCAGUUGGACUUGUAGCAACUCCUGGGGAUGUCCCACAGGCAGACUACUCCAGGAAGCCAUAGAUAUGAGCAAAAGUUUGGGAAUCCUAGAUUGAAGAUGGUGAUUGAAAAUGAAACCCAAGAAGGCAGUCUGAGCCAUCACAGAUGAAGAAGAAAAAAACCCCACAAAAUCAUUUCAAAAUUCAUAUCUUAUUUCCUUUGUCCUUUCUAUGGAGUGUGUAAUUAACAUUUAUGAUGUUUUAAUAUUAUUUGCCUCAUUUUGGAAAAUGCACGUCUCUAGAGUUGGUUCCCAUCAUUAGCAAUCGAUGAGAAGACUGGGGUAGGAUUUUACCUACCUAAGAAGACAAUGAAACCAUCUAAUUGUGAUCAGUCUGAACCAUAGGGCCAAAGUCUUUAAGAAUGUGGUUCAACCCACUUGUUUUAAUGGUGAGCGUCGCAUUGCCUUAUCUGAACGCUAGUAUUCUUUAAAAGAGUGUUUUUCAAACUACAUAUCAGGACCCAGUAGGGGUCAUUAAGUCAGUUUAAUUCGUUGGGACCAGCGUUUUUGAAAACUAACAUAAAAUAGAACUAAGCAGAACAGAAAACACAUUUCCUCACACAUGGGAAGGGUAAUGUAUUAGUCAGGAUAAGCUAACCUAUAUUUGAUAUCUAAGUGGCUUUAACACAAUAAAACAUUUCCUUCUCACUGGUAUAAAGCCAGUUCAGGUUAGUUGAGCCUCCUCUAUCUGACAGCUUCACAAUGUACAUCAUGUGGUCUCCAAGUCAGGGUAUAACCAACACUGAAGAGAGAGGUUGAGGGCCACACAAGGAAUAUUUAAGUUCCAGGCCUGGAAGCAGCUUGCAUCACAGCUGCCCACAUCCCAUGGGCCAGCCCUGGGUCACGUGAUCCCAAUCAAACUUGAAGGAGUGGGGCACAGUGCAGUCCUCCUGGGCACACAGAAGAGACAGUGGAAAGGACAUUUACACCCACUCUAUUUACACCCACUCUUCACUGAGUUCAGCAAGGAUGAGCUUCUGUAGAAUAAGCAUUGUACUUCAGAUAUUUUAACAAAUACCUCACCUUUCCUGGAAUAUUAGACAGCAAUUUUCUUUUCUUUUUCUGAAAAGAAGGCACUUUCUGUUAUCACUGGGUCAAAAACACAAGUUGGUUUUUAUGUAUUUGGAUUUUCCUAACAAGUUAAUUAAACUGACAUGUAUUGAACAUCUGUUAGUGUAUCCGGCCCCAUGUAAGAAUCAAAGAUGGAGGGGACAGUGGUUCUUCCCCUUUCUCCAUCAUCUCUUUCUAUAUCAGCAUCAUUUCUUCAAUCAUGUGCUCCCACUGAGCUGCACCAGAAGCCUGACAUUAGAGACUGCUUUUUGCCCUAAAAAGUUGCAAAUAUGCAAAAUGUCCUAAUCUGAGAAAAACUGUUACCUUAUCGUGAAGAACUUCAACUCUGGUGAAGAAUUGCUAGUGGACUAGACGACCUGCCUGUGAAUUCCUUUUGCACAGCCUCUCUGUGUAGAUUCUGUAUCCAUCAUCCCUUAGUCUUUACAGCCUUGGCACCUGCCUCUAACUACAUACUGCUGUGGAUUGAAUUGUGUUCUCCUGCACCCACCCCCAGCCCAAUUCAUAUGCUGAUGCCCUAACCUCCAAUGUGACUGUAUUUGGAGACAGAGAUUUUAGGAGGAAAUUAAGGUUAAAUGAGGUCAUAAGGGUGGGACCCCAAUCCUAUAGGUCUGGUGACCUUAUAAGAAGAGGAAGAGACGGCGGACUGUUUUCUCCUUCAGCAUGACCAAGACCACAUGAACACGCAGGGAGAAGGCAGUGGGUCUGCCAGAAAGAGAAGCUUUCACCAGAACCUGACCAUGCUGGCACCCUGAUCUCGAACUUCUAGCCUCCAGAACUGUAGGAAAAUAAAGUUCUGUUGUUUAAGCCACCCAGUGAUGGUGUUUUAUUGUGGCAGCCCAAGCAGACUAAGACAAGUGCCGACCUUGGAUAAUCAGUAAUGAUAUAUAGCAUUAAAUAUCUCCUUCUCUGUGCAGGUUGCUCUCACCUGUCCAAGCAAUCUUUCUGUCACUUGAGGACUUUGCAGACACACUGUAUCCAUCACACUCUACUGUCGUUACUUGAGUACACAUUUUCUCAUCUACUCAAAUGUAAGUUCCUAGAGAAGAGAGAUCAGUCCAAAGAUAACACCUAAUGGUGGGAACACAUGAAACCACCAUCAGAGGCAAGCGUUAUCUCCUUUUGCAAAUGAGAAAACUAGCUCUGAUAUGACCCUGAGGUCAGGCUGUAAGCAAUCUGUGGAACUAAGAUUUCAACCAAUGGAUGUUGAUCUCCAAGGAAAAUUUUAUUUUAAUAAUAAAAGUUAUAAGCCUCCGCUCUUCCCUUUCCUCCUAUCUUGCCAAAUUUUUGGACCUGGUACCAGAACACUAGCUCAGCCCUGAGCACUGAACCGUCUCUUUAUUAUUUACUUCUCUGCUUUUCCAACAUCUCUGCCGCUUAAAUCCUUUCAGCUUUAUUUGUCCUAGGUCCACAACCCAGGGCCAUCUACAUUAUUGGAGCUGACACUUUGAUUAAAACAAUGCAAUAUUGUAACAUUGACUGCCUCUGUAUUUAAUUAUUUAACAAUGCUUUCCUUAGUGUGUUAGUUAUUAUAACAUAGCUAAUGAAUCAAUUUAAUUAGAUAUAAACAAGUUUAUUUUGUUUUCUGUUAAAAAUCCAAUUCUCUUCUUCAUCAUAUUUACCGCUACAAAAUAACAAGCUAAGUCCUUUAAAUCACUUAAAUCCAUGGGGUUUAUGCCAUCAGGUUAAGAAAUUUUUUGCCAUCACAAGUCUUUAAUUACUUUUCCCACUCAUAGUAGGCACUCACAAGUAAGAUACAAUAUGAAUUUCUUGAACUAUUGCAAAACAAAGAAGAAGAAAAAUCACGCUCCUUAAAAGCAAAAGCCUGAUCAUCAUCAUAUUUUGAUGAUUCAGAUAAUGGGCAGUAAUAUAAAUAGACUAAUGAAAUUAAGAGUGAUUCAUAUUCACUCCCUGGUGCAACUGGCUUCACUAAAGAAAGCACGAUGCUAUUCUAAGGCUAAAGGAAGCUCAUUCUUUUAGCUGAACAUUUAAAUAUGCCAUUUUAAAACAAGUGCUUUGUUUAAAUUUGAUUGACUCUUCUCAAACCAUAUGGCCUUAAAAUAUUUAUGAGUCAUUUUGGGUUGAAUGCAAGACAUAUUGGCUGUAAAAAGUACAUUAAAAAUAAUGCUAGUAAUAAUCUAUAAUAUUAUUUUCAAGAUAAGUCUUUUCCUGAUCACUGGUAAUAUCAUUUUUCUUACUCUUAGUUACCAUCUUUAUUUCUUAAAAAUGAUCCCAAGUUUUAGCUCAAAGAUGUUCUCACUACAGAGUUCCAAAUAAGUUAAUAACCUGUUGUAAGAACAGUGGGAACGAGACAGAAUAAAUUGAAGCCACCAUUCCAAUUAAUCUUUGCUCAGUUCUAGCUUUUAGGUUUCUCCAGACUCUGGGAUCAGGGAUUUCAUGGAGAAAAAAAAAUCAAAAUCCCCAAACUACCAAACUGCCCUACCAAAUAUACUCCCUGUCUUUGGAUAUUCCAAAAGAAGAGUUCCAUGGUGCAAGAUAAGCUCCCAAUGCAGCACGAUAGUAAAUGGAUGACAGCCUAGAUCCAUUGAUUCUAGUGCUUAAAAAAAGAAAAGAAUGCAUAUAAAGGGACUGGCAUUGUUAUUGACUUCUAUUUAUUUUUGUUAGGGUUUUUAGUCCCAGGCCAGUUGUCCCUUAAUUGCUCAGCAAGGUCUUGGGUAGCUUUCUGUUCAACCUAUAUGUUCCCAUGGAAUGCAAUCUAAUUGCAAAUAUUGGCUAUCCAUGAAUCAUGUAAAUCUCAUUCCUUGGAAAGCCACAGGUAAGUUUCCCCACUAGGAAUACAUUCAUUCCAAUGAUCUGUUAUUCUGGAUUAUUCACAUUGCUGCCCUUGUUCAGCCAUUCAAUGUACAUCUUUUGUGUGUCUACCAGAUGGCUAAUGUCUUUAGCAUGGGAAAAACAAAAUGAGAAGACACUAUUCCCACCCUCAACAAGCAUACAGGAUGGCAAUGUGUUAGGAAUUAGUGUGUUUGAAUCCUUACAACAACUGCCUUGAAUGGGGUAGGUGUCACCAUCCCCAUUUACAGAUGGGAACAACAGAAGACAUAAACCUGAACCUCAGAAAGGUUAAAUAUUAUUAAGUCCAAGGUCACAGAGUUAAUACGUUACAAAAUUUGAGUUCACAUCAAAGGUAGCUCUACCUAGUUCCCAAACCUAUGAUCCUUUUAUUAUUAAUUUCUGCUUUCCUUUAUCAGUUUAAAAAACAAAAAAAUUACUGAAUUUAUUUUGUUUCUAAGUCUUCCUCAAAACUUCCCUAUUCAUUAUUCCUAAAAAUUGACAUUUUACUAUCUUGUAUACCAAAACUUUAAUACAUUUGCUUUUUUAUAUAAAAAUAAUACUAUUUUAAAAUAUUUUAGGCACUAAAAUACCAUACAGGGUCUUGUGUCAUAAAUAUGUUUUUACUUCCCCCACUUUCAGAGAGAAGAGGUGCACAGGGACCUCCCCAGAUUGAGCCCCAUUCUUCAGGCCAGUCAUGGGGGUGAAACGGCUGGAAUUAGAGAGUGUGGUCAUGAAGAAGCAUUGCCUGAAGAAGAGCCAGAAAGUACUCUUAGUCAUUCUAGAAUUUGAGGAGUGAUUUUUAACAUGCCAGGAAGAAGUGAGUCAAUAAGGAAGAAUGUAAAUCAAAAGGGUAGAAGUAAAAGGAAAAACACAGUCACUUUUAUGUAAAUUGAAAGAUCUGCUUUUGCCAAAAGGAAAUUCUGGGAAAGAUCUUGCCUGCACAUCAGCAAAAUGCAGGCAAAUUCCCUUUUGUUUUCAUCCUUCUGUCAGGAAAACUUUUCCCAGACCAGUGGGGCAUGUAGGACUAGAAUGGAAACAGGAUGGAUUGAAAAUUAUCUUUACUAUGAAAUCAUAAAAGGUACAAAGAGGUAGUUUUUUUUUUUUCUUUCUUUCUUUUUCUUGAGCAAUUUUCAAGACUGCCAUAUGAGCUGGACUAAGCUCCAGGGCUAAGACCAAGCCUUUUCUAGACCCUUUCUAGAUUUAAAUUGUAGCCAAGAGGUCAAUCAUUUUAAUUUUGUCAAUCCUACAGAACCUAAGAUUAUAGGGAACAAACUGUAUAUUCUGCAAUGGAUAUUCACCCCAUUUCAUUAAAAAAAAAAGUUUUUCUUUAAUUACAAAAAGUAGUCAUUUGUGGUGGGUUUUUGAUAUAAAAUAUUAUUCAUUUUAGCUUAUAAAAACAUUUUUAGGACUAAUUGUCAAACUGACAUUUCAUAUUUUAUUACAUAAUUUCUAUUUUAAAGCAUGUAAUAUGAGAUCCUUCACCCCUGUGUAAUUUUGUGAAAGAGUGUGACCUUUGAAAAAUAAAUUAUCCAUGCAUUUUUGGAAACCUGAGAAGUCUUUAUCAAUAUCCUUCUAAAUAUUUUAUAUGUUUUCUCUAAAAUCCCCACUUUUUUGUCAGAAAAUUACUAUAAAAUCUCUAUUUCGAUAAUGGCCCCUGAAUUUGUUUUUUUUUUUUUUUAAUUGCUGUUGUAACAAAUGAUCACAAACUUAGUGGCCUAAACAACAUACAUAAGUCUAUUAUCUCACAGUUCUAUAGAUCAGAAGUCCAGGAUGGGUCUCACCAGGGCAAAAUCAAAGUGCUGGAACCAAUGCCCUAGGGAUACCAAGGGAUGACUCUAUGCAGUUGUAGAACUGAUAUUGAUGCCAAAAUUCGGCCUCAGAAUACAGGUACAGAAUUGAAUCUUGGAGACAGAGUUUUGGGUGAAAUAGAAAAGAAUAGCUUUAUUGCUUUGCCAGGCAAAGGGUACCACAGAGGUAAUGCCCUCAAAACUGUGUCCCCACCUGGAGGUGGUAGUGAGGAGUUUUAUAGUAAUGGUUCAAAGAGGAGGGCGUGAUCAGCUCAUGGACAUUCGUUUGGUGCUGAGGUAAGUGGGAGUUGGCAUCAUCAACCUUCUGGUUCCAAGCGGUCUGUGGUCUACUUGCUUGUGGGCAGCAUACAGUUCACCUCUCCACCUGGUAGGGAUUUCAGUAUCUGCAAAACAGCUCAAAGAUAUUGUUAUGUAUAUCCCUUGAGGGAGAACCAGGACCCUGCUCCAAGGCUGCACUAUUGUUUCUUGACUGCUCUUCCCCUGUCUCUGCAUCCCCUCCCUUCCCUGAUUAGCAACUGUUUGAACCUGCUCUUUGGAACUCAGGGAGGGUCAUGGAUGCUGAAUGAAGCCUAUUUCCUUACACUCCAAUAAAGAUGUUAAAAAAAAGAAUUCAUAGCAACAAACCUGGAAUCUCAAAAAAAAAAAAGGAAAGAAAAGAAAGGGGGGACACAGAAAGGCUUUUGCGCCCAGGAGCUCCAGAGGGUCCUGCUCGGUUUCAAGAUCUCUGUUUCCUUACUGUCAGCAGGGGGGACCCGUUAGCUCCUAGAGAAAAACCUCUCUCCAAUGCUUGCCCGUGGUCCCUGAACCAGCAGCAAAGUGUCAGGAUCAUUCUCACACUGCCACCUCUCACUCACUAAAGCCAGAAGAGGUUCUCAACUUUUAAGGCCACAUGUGAUUAGAUUGACUGCACAGAGAUAACCUAGAAUAAUUUUUCUGUCUUAAAAUCCUUACGCUCAAUCACUUCUGUAAAAUCCCUUUUGCCUUGUAGGGUAAUAUAUUCACAGGUUUGGGGAUAAAAAUGAGAACAUACGAGGGCCAUUAUUUUGUCUCUCAUGGCACCUCCACUGCAGUGGAGAACUGGAUUUCUUCAGAUGAACUAGCUUUCCCGGUAACUCUCUUAAAUGAAAGUGGAUCAUUGUCCUAAAUUUAUAAUAUUUCAGAACCAGGAGAUACGAUCAAGAUCCACCUCCUUUCCUUUCUCACUGCCACUUUGUCUUUGUGUGUCCACCCUCAUUUAAUUUCCCUUCCUACUUUUUUUGCCUAUAUGACUCUACUAUUUUUUUUUACCAGGAUUUUUCUUAACUUCAGGAAGCUCCCCUUCAUGUUCAGCGUUCUUGAAACCUGCACCAGAUUCCCUCGAGACCUGCCUUACCUCAUUGGAUCAGUGACAAGUGAAGUCGGCAUUUAUUACCACAUUCCUGGCAGAAAUUGAUAAUCACCUAUGUCUGGAAAAGAGAAAAACAUCUGACAAGGCUUGACAAUGAGAGAGACACACACACAGAGAAUGAACAAGAUUGAGAGGAAACAGAUAAAACAUUAUGAAAAAAGAGAUGAUAUAACCAAAGUUGUAGUUGUGGUCAGAGAGGCCUGUGACAACAGAGAAUGGGCCAGAGAAACAUGACAUUGCUGGCUUUGAAGAUAGAGGAAGGGGCCCAUGAGCCAAGGAAUGUGGGUGAUUUCUAGAAGCUGAAAAAAGCAAGGAAAGAACAUUUUCCCAAGAGCCUUAAGAAAGGAACACAGCCUGCUAGCACAUUGAUUUUUGUCCAGAAAGAUCCAUGUCAGACUUCUGACCUACUGAACUGUAAGAUAAUAAAUUUGUAUUGUUUUAAGCAA